GUAUUGAUUUUUCUGUACCAUUCAUGCCACUGAACCACUGAACUGCCCUUUGCCCAUGACAACCUGUCAGGAGGCUGUCCUGGGUGCUGGGAUCUGCCCGGCCCUAGAUUCAAUUUCGGCUCCGAAACUCUCUUGGAUGCUUCUGGGCAAAUGACUUAACCUCCCAGGGCCUCAGUUUGCUUCUCGGCAAGAUGAGGAACAAAAGGCCUGCAGCACCCCCGGACCUCCACGUGGAUAUAAGUCAUCUUCGUGCUGACAGGACUGAAGUCUGGCUGAAACAAACCCCCUGGCAGAUGCUGACCAGCCAUAGCAGACCUCCCGUGGAGUCUGACAUGUCUCUAGAUGCUGCCACAGGCUGCGGAAUGACUCAGUCCCCCCACUUUUCUCUACCUGAAUGACUGCAAUACGUCUGUUUGCACAGUAGGCUGUUACAUCAUCUGGCCUUCGCUUGGCUUCAACGCGUCAUUUACGCAUUAAAUCCACCUCUGUUCUUUUCUUGUUAGCCAGCAGCAAUUAAAAAGGACUGCCUGAUGCCAACACAAUCAUUGACACAAAUGCAGAGUUGGGCAGUGAAAUCCUGGGUCAACAAUAAACUCUAAGGUGGUCAUGCUGACAGUCAUGUAACGAAAAUAAUCGGAGUGGUUAACUUGCUGUGCGCGGGCACCAUGCUAAGUGUGUUACGUGUGGGGUCUUAUUUAACACUCCAACAAUCCUAGAAAGUAAGUGCUACCCAUUUUACAGAUAAGAACAUUGUCGGGCCAGCCUGC